AAACAAUACCACCAGAAGAACCACCAACUCUAUGAAUCCAAUUACGAUCAAACCUUGUGAAGCUCUUAUCCAAAAAAGCUGAUAAAGAUAUGACUAAAACCAAUACAAAAAGUAACAUUGGUAACCAUAAAGUAACACUAAUUGGUUGUUCAUCAUCUUCCAACUCACUCUCUGAUCUGUGAUCUAUGUAUAGAGGAGAAGCCACAGCUAGAACUACUAAGCUUAUGGCUGCUACUCUCUCAUAAGAUGAAAAUUUGUGACCCCUCCUACUAGCUUCAGGUUCCAUUCAGAAGAUUGAUUUAGAUGAAAAUUGUGUUGUUAAUUAAAAUGUAUGUAUAUAUGAUAUGAUAUGAUGGAAUUGCAACACAAAAAUGUUGAUAUGGUAAGUGGAAUAUUGCUUUUCAAAGUAUGCACUAACUAAAGAGCAUCGGAUUCUCACUAACUACUAUAUUCUCAUUCAUGUACUAAUGUGGGACCCGAAUAAAAAUGAAUAUCAAUGUGCGCAAUCUUUUUUAACCAUUUUCUUUUUUGAAAGAUAGAGAACAAUCAACAAAGAACUAGAAACUCCAGAACCAUCAGCAACUAACAAGUGAUUAAUCUAAGCUGGGGCUAGCAAGCUCGUAGAAAAUCAAGAAGAAUAAGCUAUCACAAAUCGUUAUUGGCCAAAGCAUAAGCGAAAUUCCAACGGCACUUGACCUUGUGAAAGGGGCUAUCCCACGAUAUGAUAAACCAAUGUUGGAAUCUCAACUAUGAGAAGUACUCUCAUUAAAGUCCGACACACCUCAAAUAGGAUUACAUCUAGCGAAUGAAACCUACGGAAAAAGGAAACAUCAACGCAAUGAUUUGCUUCACAAUAAUAAUGACAAAUUUUUACUUCUCAAUCCAUAUGUAAAAGCCUUUGAAUCUAUAACACCAACCAAAUAUUUCAAAUCCUUUUUAACUUUGAUCAUACUCCCUCCGUCCUAAAUUAUAAGCCAAAAAAAAAAAUCACACUUAUUAAGAAAAGUAAAACAUAAGAAUUUGAAGUAUAGUUUUGUGUUUUUUUUUGAAAAAGUUUUAUAGGAAUAUGUAAAAACAAUUUUUAUUGGCUAUAUAUUGGUUAUGGAAAAAAUGAAAGAGAGAGAAAAUUGAAUGAAAUUUGCAUUUAAUUUUAUGAGAAUAAACAAAAGUUUUACUUGGAAAAGAGAUUUAAAAAAAAAAAACAAGAUUAAAUAGGAUAAAAAUUUGUCUUUUUUGCUUAUAUUAUGGGACAGAGGGAGUAAUUGUUAUGCUCACAACAAAUCUGUUAGGUCAUGAGGGGAGCUCGGAGGACCGUCCACAUCGAGGCUAGAACAACCACACUAGUGAGAGAGACUCCACAUUCUUACCUAAAACCUUAAGGCAAUGGGUUUAUGAGUCCUCUUACUUAUAAGGUGUACAACCUUUACUUUUUUAUCCGAUGUGUGACAUAUAACUGACUCUUGCACACAACAAAAUCGUCCUUAAAUUACUCUGUUCUUUCUUAGCUAUAACACCUAGUCAACAUCCAAGUACGUACGAGAAAUCCUACCCACUAGAAAACAAGUGAAAGACACAAAUGUGGGACCAUAAAGUGUGCUGGCUUGAACUUAACCCAAAACCUACUUAAUUCUAAUUAACCACCCUAAUUACUACUUCGGUUCGAAAUUAUAAAUCGUUUUAAAAUAUCCGUUAAAUAUUAAUAUUACUUUUCCAAUUAUACUAUUAACUAUUUAUUACUUUAUCUUCUUUCAAUUCUUUUAUUUAUCUUUCUCAUAUCAUUAAUGAAGGAUAAUUUUGUAAAAUUACUUAUAAUUUUGUUUUCUUAUACAAAAUUAAUUACAUUUAUUAAUUUGCGUAAAAUAUCCAAAACAACUAAUAAUUUUGGACGGAGGAAGUACCUCACAAAUCAAGUAAAUGACCAAUAAAUUGAGCUAAAUGAAGCCGAUAACUCUUAUUUCUGAGUUAUGAGUGGUUAAUGAUCUCCCAAUUACUAAAUGAAUGAUAUACAAGAGAUGUGACUCAUAUACUUAAUACGUCAAUUUUUUUUAAAUUUUUUUUUUUAUGUUAUGUGUUGUUAAAAUCUCGUGGGAAACAAGUUGCUUAAUAAUAGUGGUGUCCAAAUGUUGAGAAACUUUUCUUCAACUCCAAAUAAUAUCCUUUUUAAACCAUUUAUUUAUUGAAACGUUUAAAACAACUUCACCCCACACUUGCAUGAAUAUGGUUCGCAAAAUGCAUUGUUUUGCUUCUGUGUAUAUACAUGAUAAAUUGAUUUCUCAAGCUGCACGAUCGUGAACAACUCAACAAAGACAUGCACUAUGUUGAUUCAAACAGCAUGGUCAUGCAUAUAAAUCGACAUCAACAUACUAUAUUCAAAGAGUUAAAAGAAAUUGAAAUCCAUUACAUUUAUUGAUCUUUACAUGAAAUUGAAAUCCAUGGAAGAUACUCAUUCAAACCACCCUUUUACACUAUAGAUUCUACCACAUCACACAAAUUCUUAUUCUAUCACACAACCCAGCUAAAUCCUUUCCAUUCCUCUCAACACAAAACACACAAAUGGAUGAUUUACUUGCAUUCCAUAUUUUUCAAUAACACAUUUUUUUCAAUGUAAAUCCCAAUAAAUUUUAUUACACGGGAAAGAUGAAGAUGGAAUUAGGGAUGAAUAUGGAUUUGAGGUAGAUGCAGAUGAACCCUAAUUGCACCAACUUAUAUUAGUGGCAUUUUGUUUCUAUUUUUUUAAUUUGUAAUUUUUAAGCUCGCAUUCACGUCUGUAUUUCAUUGGCCAAGUGUCCCUUUCAAACGACCAACUCACGAAAGGGACGAACUUACCUCAAUAUUGUUAAUGUUUUGGACCAACUUAAAAUAUUUAAAACAUAAGUCAGGAAAAAUUUAAAACACAAACGACCAAAAUAAAAUCUAAAAUAAACAUAAGAGACCAAAAAUACAAUAUUUUACUAUAUUAUCUAAAAUUUCAUUUUAACAUUUACAUUCUAUAUCUUUAAAUAAAAUAUGAGGAGACGACGCAGCAAGUGAGGAAAAAUUCAACACAUCUCUAUUUCCAUGUAUUUUUAGAACUUGGUAUCGACUUACUUAACGCGUGAUGGAGCUAUAUGAGAUGAGCAAAAAAGACUUGCUCUAUGUUUUCAUUGAUUUAAAGAAUGCGUAUGAUAUAUUGUAUGGAAAGCCCUAGAGAAGAAAGGAGUAAGGAUUACUUAUAUUUGAGCUAUCAAGGACAUCUACUAGGAGGCUUCAACUAGUGUGAGGACGCACGAUGAGGUCACCAACGAUUUUCCCGUAACAAUAUGAUUGCAUCAAGGAUCAACCUUAGUCCAUAUCUUUUUACCUUAGUUUUGGAUGUACUUAUAGAACACGAGCUAGGAUCGAGAUGUAUGUUUUUUGAAAAUGAUGCAGUUCUACUUGGAGCAUUGAAGGAGGUUGGAGAUAAGCUUUAAAAACACACAACUUCUGUUUUAGAGGUAAAAAUUGGAGAUUAUAUCAUUUCACAAAUUACACAAUUUAAAUAUCAUGGGUCCAUAAUAUAAAACGAUGGAGAAAUAGAAGCAAAUAUAAUUCAUCAAAUUCAAUAUGGGUGCUUGAAAUUAAUGAGUUGAACCGAAAUAUGGUUUAUGAUUAAACAUGGUAACAUAAGCCGACCCCAUUUAAUACGAAAAUGUUUGAUUCGGUAUCUAGUCCAUGAACCGACAUAUCGGGGUUCAAUCUCAUCGAUCAUUUGCCGGACCCAUUUAAAGUUAAAAGAAGAACAUGAGAAGAGGGAGUAUAAUUUUGCUCGAAGCUACACAGUGUGUAUAUGGAAGGAAAGAGCAAUAAUAUUUGGGAGAACACUUGCAAAGCAAUAAUUUUUCUCCUAUAUGCAUGCAAAGGUUCGUACAUGGGUUGAUGUGAGUUUUUGACCUCGACAUAGGCACAUAGCAGUGUAGGUUCAAUCAAACUAAGAUAGCGCCUAAGAUAAUGGUGAUUUAUGAAGCAGCCCAAAUGGCAUUACAUAUAGUAAGAGAUGAUGAAACAAUCCUUCUUUGUGACAUUUACAUGUUUUUUUUUUUUAAAUGAAUUUAGUGUGUUUUGAUAUCAAAGUCUUUUUUUUUCUAAGAUUUUUCUAUAACUUUAAAUUUCUGUACUUGUGAAAUUUAGGUUUUCUCGUAUCUGGAUCAGACCAAUCUCUGCAGAGCUGCUAGAGUUUCUAAGCAGUGGCGAACCGUUAGUACUCAUGAAGAUUUCUGGAUGAAUUUGAAUUUUGAAAAUCGGAACAUAUCUGAAGAACAAUGUGAGCUUGAGUAUAUGUUGUAUUCUUUAUAAAAGUUUUUAGUUUUAUAAAUGUGCUUAUUUAAAGUUUUAUGUAUAAUCACAGUUGUGAGCAUGUGUAGGCGUUAUCCGAAUGCUACAUCAUUGAGCAUAUCAGGACCUACUAUUGAUUUGCUGGUCAUGAAGGCAAUGUCUUUGCUAAGGUAGGUAUUUUGUGUGACAUUGCACUGAAUCAAGUCAUGUUGGAUUCUGGCUGAUUUGUUUCAUUAUUUUCAGGAAGCUCGAGGUUUUAACAUUAGGAAGAGGACAAAUAGGGGAUGCUUUUUUUGUUGUUCUACCUGAUUGUUCCAUGUUGAGAGAAUUGUAUAUCGAUGAUUCUACACUUGGAAAUAGUAUUCCGGAGAUAUCUGUUGUUCAUGAGAGAUUGUGUCAUCUUGAAUUAAUAAAAUGUCGUGGGACGCGAAUACAAGUCAGGUGAAUAUGCCUCAAAGUUUGACUGACACCUCCGAUGAUAAAAUAAAAAGUGAUGGUUUAUUCAUUUUUCAGGUGCCCACAACUUAAAACUAUGUCUUUGAAGAGCAGUAACAUGGCACAGGUUGUACUUGAUUGCCCUCUUCUACAUGAACUUGAUAUUGGUUCUUGCAACAAACUUCCUGAUGCUGUUAUUCGUGCUGUUGCAACUUCAUGCCCUCAACUGGUGAAGCUGGACAUGCGUAACUGUUCUUGUGUCAGCGAUGAAACCCUGCGUGAAAUAGCGCAGCAUUGUCCUAAUCUUGGUUUUCUUGAUUCAUCAUACUGCCCAAGCAUAUCUUUGGAGGUGUGCUUCAAAUUGUAUACUCGCUUUUUUGCAUAUGUAAGCUUGUAUUUUGAACUAAAGUAUAUGGCUUUUCUCUUUUAAGUCGGUUCGGAUGACAAUGUUGACAAUUCUAAGGCUUCAUAGCUGCGAGGGCAUCACUUCUGCAUCAAUGGCUGCUAUAGCUCAUAGCUCUAUGUUGGAGGUAUUUUAUCUGUCCCAGAUAUUGAUAUUAAUGACAUGUCUGAAUUCAUGAGUAUUACGAUUAAUACAUUUAACCACCCCGCCAAUGCAGGUUUUGUAACUCCGCAGUUGCAGUCUAUUGACUUGAGCGUCGUUGGAUCUUCCACAUUUGAAGAAUAUUAGAUUGGCGUACUGUCGCAAGUAUGUUUCUGCUUCAUUUUCUCUCUCCCCAGAAAAGCACUAUAAUUCUAUUAUUGAUCCGUCUCUCUCUAUUGCUUUUCACUUUCUGUUUAAGUCAAUACCAAAUCCUUUUUUCUAUUGUUGCGCCUAAUUUAUUUUUUUGAAUGGUUUCCUUUGCAGAUUAGCAGAUUUGAACUUGAGGGCUAUAUCGCUUUCUUCUAUACAAGUGUCUGACUGCUCUGUACUUCACCGGAUCAAUAUCACUUCAAAUUCACUUCAAGUAUGUGUUAUACACUUAUACUUAUGUCUUGUUUCAUUCCCCAUUCUCAUAUAUUCUAGAGUAUAUGCAGACAUUAGCACUGCAAAAGCAGGAUAGCUUAACUUCAUUAGCAUUGCAAUGCCAAUCUUUCCAAGAAGUGGAUCUCUCUGAGUGUGAAUCUUUGACAAAUUCUAUAUGUGAUGUUUUUGGUGAUGGUGGAGGAUGUCCUAUGUUGAAAUCACUAGUUCUGGAUUAUUGUGAGGUACAUGAACAAAUAUUUCUUUUGAAUUUCUGGAUUUAUUUUCCAAAAUUUGAUUAUUCAUGAGCUAUGUUAGUAUAGUAGUAUAUUCUGACAAUUCAAAUAAGUGUUUUCCUACUCUUGAUCCCUUUUACACAAUUCUAAUUGUUUUUUAUAUAAUCAACUAAUCCAGCUGUACCAUAACUUAUUGAUUGAAGUUUUGCUUGUGAUUUUUAUAAUACUGAUGUACUUUUUUUGUAUGUCAUAUUGAUGAAGUUUAUGAAAGGGUAUUCUUGGUAUUCUCACAAAAUCAGUUUAAAGAACUACUGAAAUUUGUGACUUUAGUUGAAAUAAUUGCAUGAAUCAUUAUUAGUUGUUACUAUCAGUGUUUAGCGGUAGAUGAUCCUUGGGAUAAUGUCUCAACUUUUCUGGCUGUUGUAUCUGUGAGAGAUUAGGUUUCUUUUCAUUCCUGGGAUUUUGUUGGUCAAAUGAUCUAUACUUGUAUGGAUGUUAACAUUCUUUAGCCUGCUUGUUGUUCGCUGCAUGUAGAGCCUGACUUCAGUUCGCUUCAUCAGCACCUCGAUAAUCAGUCUUUCUCUAGGCGGUUGUCGAGCAAUCACUACUCUUGAGCUAACCUGCCCUAAUCUUGAGAAGGUCAUUUUGGACAGCUGUGAUCAUUUGGAAUAUGCAUCAUUUUGCCCUGUAAGUGACAUUGAUUUAUUAUACAAUUUAUACUUGAUUUUUGUGAGAUGAGUUUUUUUAUUUCUUGCCUUUUUUGUGCACUUCGAUUUUUAUCAGCUGUAAUUUUUUAUUUCUUCUUUCCUUUUGAGUUGAUCAUGUGUUGAACUAUGUGAAAUAAGAACUACAGAAUAAUAGUAUAACAUCUUUUGCUUGUAUUUAUUUAGCUAUCUGCAUGGUUUAAGUAAUAGUUUUAUACAUUUGCAGUCCAAGAGGUUGCUGUUAUGUUAAGGCUUUGUAAUUGGGACCACAGUUAUUAUCAGUGUAUUAAGAUACCUUGAAGUCAUAUCUUGAUUUUGAAUAAAUCAUGAAUCGUAGUAAAUAUUUGGAUAAUAUUCGGAAAAUAGGUCUUCCGAUUCAUGAUUUGAAUCUCGAUCUGAAAGCUAAGCAACUCCCUUUUUUCAUCUACUUCUCAGCUUGCUCUUCGAUCUCUCAAUUUAGGAAUAUGCCCAAAAUUAAACAUACUCCGCAUUGAAGCAACGUUAAUGGUCUCCAUUGAGUUGAAAGGAUGUGACGGACUGUCUGAAGCAUCCCUUAAUUGUCCUCUCUUGACAUCUCUGGAUGCUUCCUUUUGCAGGUGAUGCUUUAUUUGCUAGUUUCUUGGCUAUCCUGCUUGCGUAUGGAGUAUGGACUGAUGUUUGUUGUUUUGAAUUAUAGUCAACUCAAUGAUGACUGCUUGUCUGCAACAACCCGUGCCUGUCGACUAAUUGAGUCAUUAAUAUUAAUGUCAUGCCCAUCGAUUGGGUUAGAUGGACCCUGCUCCUUGUAUUGGCUCCCAAAUUUAACCCUGCUUGAUUUAUCAUACACUUUCUUGGUGACUCUGCAGCCUGUUUUUGACUCUUGUAAACAACUAAAGGUAAAAAACAUUAUAUUUUAGUUUACAUAUUUUUUACUGUCUUGCAAAUUACAAAUAGUAUAAUAGUAGUGAAGAACCGCUCCUCCCAUCCUCAAAACAAAUCUCCAGAAGUGGUGGUUAUUUAGUUUGAUAAACCUAGCGAAGUUGUGAUGUUAUACUACCAUACACACAGAAGUUGUUCAGAAGAGCUUAUUUGUGUCUAUCUCGUGUUUAAAUACUUAUAUUAUUAAUGUUUUUGGAUUUAAAAAAAAAAACAUUUAUUUCAUUUUUCAUCGUUUCCUGCUUCUGCAACAAUGAAGACGCAGAAAUUGGCUGGAAAAUGGAGAUAGAAGGGGACUGAAAAGAGAGAGGAAAAAGUGGGCAAAACUCCUAACAUUAUUUUGUUUAAUGAGUUACUCAUUCCUUGGUCCACAGGUUAUGGAAUGAUGUAUAACAUUUGUAUAAUUAUUUUCUUUGCCUUUUUCUGACGGUGACAUUCUUGUUUCUUGAAGGUUUUAAAGUUGCAGGCAUGCAAAUAUCUCAUCGACUCAUCGCUUGAACCUCUUUACAAGGGGGGUGUUUUACCAACUCUUCAGGAGUUGGACUUGUCUUAUGGAACUUUGUGUCAGCAAGCCAUAGAAGAGCUUCUUUCUUGCUGCAGUCACCUUGCACAUGUGAAUUUGAAUGGCUGUGUGAACAUGCAUGAUUUAAACUGGGGGCAAAGUCGAGGAACUUUUCCUGAGUUACCUGGCAUAAGCAUCCUAUCCAUCGCAAGUUCCUACGAAAACAACCAUGUGUCAAGUGAGUGACCCACCCGAUUACUUCAGAACCUCAACUGCGUGGGUUGUCAAAAUAUUAGGAAGGUUUUCAUUCCAUCAACAGCACACUGUUCCCAUUUAUUGUUUUUAAACCUUUCUCGGUCAUCUAAUUUGAAGGAGGUUGAUGUAGCCUGUCUCAAUCUAUGAUGGCUUAAUCUAAGGUAUUGUUUGCCUCUCAAAUGAAUGUGGAUUGGUUUCUGUCCUCAUAACAGAUCGUAAUGUUUUGACUUAUCUCUUCAGCAACUGUUUCUCAUUGGAAGUUCUGAAGCUAGAGUGUCCGAGAUUAACCAAUCUAUUCCUUCAGGUUAUUAUUCUUAUCUACCAAUCUAAACUUAUUCAUGCACAUCAUGAUUAUUGUUCUGGAUAUACUUUAAAAUUUAUUGUGGUAAUAUGUUUUUUCAUAUUUUCUGCAUGAAAAAUUCUAGCAACACACUAUCAGACGCAUUCUUUUGUACGCUCUUUGUUAUUGAGUGAAAUUCAUGAGUCCUACCACGUAGGAAAUGGUUCCCAGUUCCAACCCAAUAGAGAUUGAGACUCAACAAGUGUGUAAAGAAUGUGUUAAGAUUGUAUUGCUAGAAUGUGUUAAGACUCAACCUGUAUGUGGGUGUUGGAAAGAAUGUGUUAAGAUUGUAUCGCUGGAAAUGUUUUUACUGCAUUACAAUUUACAAUUGUCAUUGACUAUCAUUAUUGUUUUAGAAAAUUAUUAUUCUUUCGUCUUGGGUUAUGCGACUCCUUUCAAGAAUGGGCGGCAUACAUUUUCCUUAAAAACUGUUAGGGUAUGGAGUUGACCUCUGUCCUUUACUUGAAAUAAAUCUGACAUUUGAUAUUCAUCAUUUGAGGAAUAUUGUUCAAUUGUAUGACUUAAAUUUAGUCAUUCUUGCAACCCAUUCAUUAAUUCAUUGUUAUAGUUAUUUGCGUGCUCAAGUUGAGACAAUUUGAAUAUUUUAGGCUUGCAAUAUUGACGAGGAAGCUGUUGAAGCUGCUAUAUAUGUUGAAGACUCUUGAUGUUCGCUUUUGUCCUAAGGUGAGAGCAAAUACAUAAAUUUUUUGAAAUGUUGAUUUCAGUUAAAAUGAAACUUUAUCUUGCAUGAUGCAAUGCAUGGUUGCUUGAAUGUUUGUUUUUAUCAUGUUCUUCAAUCAUUUGUGAUAUUCUAUGGUGCUUUGUAGAUAAGCUCAACAAGCAUGGGAAGAUUCCAUGCAGCAUGCUCUAGUUUGAAGCGUAAAUAUAGCAGCUUGUCAACUUCAUCGGCAUGAUUUAGGAUAUUUUAAGUUUCGUGGUGUUUGUUCACUUGGAGAGAACGCAUGCCUGACAUUAAAUCGAGUUAUUUCUAAUGUAUUGUAGAUUUUUAACUUUUGUAUUUUUGUGUUUGUUUGGCAUAUAGAAAUGAGGUUAUCUUCAUGCAUUGUAACAAUAAGUUAUCCUUGUUGUAAAUUUUACAUUUCAAUUUGUUGCUGCAUAUUUUAUUCUGAACUGGUCUGAAGAAUAGGUGCCUGUUUGAUCUUACAUUUUACGAUGGAUGCGGGUAUUUACAUUUAUAGUUUGAUAUUGCCUGUUUCUUUAACAUGAAUGCAUAUUUACAAUUAUAUUUUGAUGAAAUUUUCAUAUAUGCACGAGAUCAAAUGGAAUCAGUGUGCAUGAACUUAUUUGAAUCAACAUUCGAUCUGCCAGUCUCAAACCUACACCAUCAAACCAACCCUUGCGGGUUAGAUUUUUCCAAACUUGUUGAUUUGCCAUAAAGUGUGCAUGAAUUUAUUGAUUUUCCAAACCUACACUAUCAAUUAUAUCUUGAUUUUAAGUGGACGCAUUGGAUUAUACAAGGAGUCUCUAGGUUAAAAAUAAGAUAUAUCUCUCAUCUUUUAGCCAAAUUUGGUUCUUUUUGCAGUAUAAUUUUUUAUGCGCUGAUUUUCUCAGUUAUAUUGCUUCUGUUUUAUUGCAAUCACAAGAAAAUUAAAUCAUGACAAUAGUUUUAGUUCACUUGAGAUUGUAAAAGAUAAUUGUUCUUAAUAGAUUUAGCUAAUAUUUCUACCAUGAAAAUAUCAAGUUUAUUAACUUAAAUACAUUGUACUUUGAGCGCAGACAAUAAUUAGCUUAAAACAUAAAUUCAUCUUAAGUUCAAGAUUCAACACUUAGUUUUAUCAUAAACCUUCCUUGAGCAUGCAUGCAAGGUUCUUACAUUACAACAGAGAUGCUUUACACUUCAAAACAAGAAAGAGAAGAAUAAGAAUGAAAACAAUACCACCAGAAGAACACCAACUCUAUGAAUCCAAUUACGAUCAAACCUUGUGAAGCUCUUAUCUAAAAAAGCUGAUAAAGAUAUGACUAAAACCAAUACAAAAAGCAACAUUGGUAACCAUAAAGUAACACUAAUAGGUUGUUCAUCAUCUUCCAAUUCACUCUCUGAUCUGUGAUCUAUGUAUAGAGGAGAAGCCACAGCUAGAACUACCAAGCUUAUGGCUGCUACUCUCUCAAAUGAAGAAAAUUUGCUUCCCCUCCUAUUAGCUUCAAGUUCCAUUCAAAAGAUUGAUUUAGAUGAUAAAAAAUUAUGUUCGGGGAAAUUUUUUGUGUUGCUAAUUAAAAU
rnacentral:lncRNA from 1 species